CCCCAUAGAUUUGGACCCCCGGUCCAUAUCCACUAGUAGAUUUGGACCCCCGGGUUCAAAUCUACUAGUGGAUAUGGACCCCCGGGGGUCCAAAUCUAGU
rnacentral:miRNA from 1 species